GGCACAUGUGAGACACAGGAAGUGAGGUAGAAAACAGCCUCUGGAGUUCUCGGGACUUCCUGUGAGGAGGGUUAGAGGCAGUUGGAGGCUGGUGCUUGGAGUUGGAAGAGCCCCACAGGCUGCUUUCCUUCAGAUUGGUCACAAAUAUUCUUCUGGAGAUUUAUGGAAUACUAUCUCUGAAGAAACAUCAUGAUGAUCAACCAGGGAGCAAUGGAGAGGUGCAUGGUGGGAAGAAGCAGUCGGUAACAUAUCACAAAGAAUUACUGAGGAGAAGCAGUGUAAAGGAAUGUCAUGAAAAAUAUAGAAUAGAAAGAAAACAUGAGUAGAAUACACAAGAGAAUGUGGAGUCAGAAGAGCUGGUUCUGAAUGUCAGCCUUAGAAUGGAUGAACUGUGUGGCUCUGGCCAUCACUCUGAGCCUUUUUCUUCUCUGCGAAAUGGAGGGUGAGCCUGCUUCUAACAAGUCCCUCAAAAGCUUCUGUAACCCGUCCAAAUGAUGAUGUCAAGUGCUACAAGGCCCCAGGUCGGCCCCCAUCGCAGGCAGACCUAGAAGCAGUGAGAAAGCCAUCGAUUUUGAUCCUCACAGACCCUUCUUGUCAAGUACCAAUCCCUCUGCUGAUGCUACCAAUAAAUCCCAGGACAGAAAGAGUAAAACUUUUGUGGCGUUGCUUUUGGGGUUUUUUCACUCUGAACUUGUAAGAAGACUAAGGCUGAGAAAAAUAAGGGGAUUUGUUCAACAUCAUCGAAGUAAGAAGAAUCAGGCAGGGUCGGAGCCUGCAUCUUCUUGCUCCAGAGACAAUGCUCUUUCUACUGUACCAUAUUGCCUGAUGAAGAAUCUUUCUUUUCCAUAAAAUCACAUCCAGACAAGAAAAACAAUUUUAAAUUUAAACUGGAGGAGGAAGAGAGCAGCAACAACUGAGGAAUCAGGACAGUCUUCCAAUGGAAGGCGAUGACUGAACUGAGCCUGGUAGAAACUCAAGAUUGAGAUGCUUAUUACAUGCAUUCUUUUGGUGGGACAGAAAGGGAAAGGGUGAUUUCCACUCUCGCAAUGCCAUCUCCAAACGAGUGGUGUUGGCUCUUUGGCAGUCAUCACAUGCUAAAGUACAGAACUGGAGCCCAUCUGAAUAAAACAAAGAAGAGAGGCACAUUUGGAUGCCUAGAGAGGAGUUGUUUUGACAAAUGUCGAUACACAGCACUGGCUGGCUCUGGCCCGUUCUUCACUGCCUCCAACUGCUUGCAUACUUCAGCUAAUGCCACUUCUUCUGUCAGGGGAAAUUGGAUGUCCCCAACACAAUUUCACUGCCAUCUCCCUACAACAUUACAAGCUUCCUUGGCAGCCAAAUCACAUAUUCUUAUCACAAAAAAUAAAUAAAUGAGAGAAAAGAA